rfam:Branchiostoma floridae genomic scaffold BRAFLscaffold_243, whole genome shotgun sequence.
UCCAGAUGUUAAACUAUCGUUCUGGGAACAGUCGCUCUUACAAGCUGUUCCCAUGGAGAUAGCUUAGCAACUCCU